CAUCUUUCGUGACUGGACUCCUACUCCUGCUCGAAGUCCUUAGAGACCCUGACACCAGCGGUUUAAUUCAAUUGCUAUGGCUCUUUCUUUAUGCUGUUCAUCAACAUGCUCUGAAGCACACUCUUGUCAUGUAUAAAGCAGACAGGAAUACAGGUAUUUACAUCAAACAUAGCGCUGUCUUAUUUUACUUUUGUUCCUAGAGAUAAACACAGUGCCACUUUGAUGAUACCCAUAGAGGUUAUGAUCAUAUACCUUCUUCUACC